UUAUCUUUGGCACUGGUUGGCCAUAAGACACUUUCUCCCCUUUAUGGAGUACAGGCGAAGAAGAAGAGACAGAUGCCUGAUUACCAAAUGAAAGAGUCUGAUGUGAUUUUUUUUUGAUGUACAUUUCACCCUUCAUCACAGGCAGUGAAACACUAGCCUUGAAGGCUGGAACAUCUAACAAGGUAAGAUGAUUCACUGCCAGCAUCUUUUCUCUCUUGCUCACAGUACGAGGCUGUGUUUUUAACACUAGUGCGGUCUUCCAUCAGGCCGUCACCACCGUUGAGUAAUUCGUAGCUGGAAGCACGAGUCUUUGCACAGAGAAUUUUAUUUGCUUAUACUAUCUCUUUUAAGUCAGUGUUUGUCUGUGUAAGACAAUUGUGUGGCUUGAAGAGAUCAAUAGAGGUCAUGAAGACAAGAGCGCUCCUCUGAUCCCUCUUUUCUUUAGCAACCUGCUCCCAUUAAUCACGACCACAUUGACCCAGAUGAUGCUCUGAACUUCUAGAGCAUCAUGUCAUCGUGCCGUGACACUGAUGCAGGCUGUUGGGAGAUGUAAUUGAAACAAAUUGAGUUGCAGUAACAUAUGUUUCCUAGUUUUAGGGCCAAAGCAAACAGAGAAAUUGAACAAUCACCCUGCCUGCAUUACAGACUUGGACUGUGUCUUCAUCGAUUGGGUUUUGGUCUAAAUUAAGUGGUCAAUAUACUUUUAUUUGACAAGGAAAUUGCAUAAUGUAACAAUCACAGUGGAUUGUUUCAAGGAGCUAUCUCACCAAUACCACAUCUUCAGGUGUUUCUUUUUUCAAAAGAAAGGUUUAGUAUUUUGGGAAAUACGAUUCUGUGAGCAUUACCAUCUCAUCUAAGGCAGGAAGGCAAAUAAUACAAAAUGUCAGACAUUAGAAUUUAAAAAUAAAGCCUUACAAGUCCCGCAUUUAAAAAAGGCAGUUCAGUGAAGUAACAGAAGGAGAGCGGGCCAAUUAGCAGGAAAAUAAACAUGUCAAUCAAAAAAGUAAAAGCACAUUCAAAAUGCAUAUAACUGUUAUUGACUGUUCAUGCAUAAAUUGGAUUUAGAUUUUUUUUUAGCCAUUUUUAGUUCAGUUUUAGCUAUGCUUCUUAUUUUGCAAGCAUAUCUGCAGUUGACUAAUAAAUAUGAAUAGCAAAAAGUAAAUGUAGAAGGUAUUGCCUUUCCUUAUGAAAUGGAGUGGAAUAAUAACCCCUCAGUAGAAGUUAAAGACUAUAAAAAUGGACUUCCACGCAAAAGAGCAUGCCCACAGCCCUAGAAAUCUCAUCUCUGUUUCAUUGCGUCGUAAUUACUCUUUCAUCGAUUGUCAUUGGUGCAGCUGUUAACUGACAUCACAAAUUAUAGUGGUGCUUUGUGGUCUGGUGGAAACAUAUUUAUUUCAGCUUCUGAUCGGCACAAAUCAAAAGGAAACAUUUUGCUGUCGGGUAAAAUACUUUGAUCACCCUAAAUAUGGUGCUCUUUCCCUCUGGUCUUUCAAAUUUAAAGACUCAAUUCUUGUAAAAAUAAAAAAAAGCCCUAUGGCAUAGUAAAAUUAGAUCAAUAAAUGUCAACAGUAAACAACAAACGGCUUGUGCUAAUUGCUGAAAAAAACCUGAUUUCUUGGGUUUUGGUAGGACACUGGAGUGGAUUGUUUGUUUGUAGCGGUUGGUCUUUUAUGCUUCCUAACAAGCUUGUGAAAACAGUCGAUGCUGCUGUAGUCACCACACUGAAGCCACAGCAUGUUAUAUUCUUAGUUCGAACAGAUAAAAUAUUGAUAAUACAAUCUGGAACAUGAAUAAAAGGUAGGAGGCACAGCUUGGCUCCAAAGUACAAUCAGCAAUCUUGUUUUGAAUACAAAAACCUUUUUCAAAACUGUUCUCAAGCACUUUUCAUUUUGUUAAAGUUUUGUUGACGCAGACCGUUUCAGGCUCUUUAUUUGAUAGUACUCUGGAAGUGUCUCACAAAUGUCUCACAGAAACAGAUCAUCCUUCAGUUUUUUAUGUUCUUUUAAUUCAGCCACACUCUUUAAGUAAUACAUCUCAUUGGCCACUUUGUUGGCUUCAAGUGCUCAUCAGCUUUUUAUUGCAAAUAUCUAAUCAGCCAGUCACAUGGUCGAAACUCAGUGCAUUAAGUCAUGUAGACAUGGUCCAAAAGUUUAAAUUAAGGUUCAGAAUAUGGUUGAAAGGUGAUAUAAGAGAGUUUGAACGUCGCACGGUUGUUGGCGUCAGACAGGCUUGUCUGAGUAUCUCAGAAACUGCUACUACUGGGAUUUCCCUACACAGUCAUCUGUAGGGUUUACAGAAAAUGGUUUAAAAAAACGAGAAAAUAUCCAGUGAGCAGCGUUCCUAUGGGUGAAAAUGCCUUGUUGAUCAGUCUGCUUCGUCCUGUUGGGAAAGCAACAGAAACUAAAAUAACUACUCCUUAUGACCAAGGUAUGCAGAAGAGCAUCUCUGGUGCAUCUCAGAGAUGCAGAAGAGCAGCAGAAGAGCAUCAUGUUAAACACCGAAGCAGGUGGGGUACAGCAGCAGAAGGCCACACUGGGUGCAACAGUUUGCACGGGCUCACCAAAGUGGGGCAACAGAAGAUUGGACAAAUGUUGCCUGGUCCUACGAGUCUCAAAAUCUGCUGUUAUCUCUGGGUGGAGAAGAAAAGAUAUGCGAUGCUUCAACAUUUUGAAAGAAUAAACAGCCUCAUGUAUGGGGUCUAUAUACAGGACUUCCUUGGAGAGCCAGAUUUUUUUGGCAGAGACGAGGAACUAGACCAGCGCUGAAGAGCCAGACCGCAUCACUUUAAACCCGAAGGGGCUCCGUCUGUUGAUGACUGGCUCGACCUUCUUACAAGCCAAAGUUGAUGAACUCUGUGUGGUGUAAAUAUAAACUCUUGUUCACUGGUCCUCACUCACUGUAAGUAGAAAGUCGCUCAUAUUCCCAUAAAUGGUCAUAUUAUCACUGUCAGGUUUAAAAAAAUUGGCUCAAUGAAGAAAUGUUUUGGAAAGAAUUUAAUUUUUAAGCAAAAGUUAAGCAACUUCAAUUAGUAGCAAAAUGAGGCAUUUAACAUGAUUUAUUAUCUUCAGGAGAUUUCUUCACUUUCCAAGUGAAGAUUAAUAUGCACAUGCUUUAUUUUGAAAGGACUGGAGCUGAAGAAGACACAUUGCCUCAACCCGCACAUGUUAGACACAACAGAGGCCGAGGAUGAAGGAAUAAUUACUAACAAGGUCAAGCAUGUUUUAGAACACUGACGAACCAAAGCACCACAUAGCAACCUGCCCGUGGAAACAAAACAGGGUAUUUACCGCCUUAAAACGAAAAGUAUAGCUGUAAACAUUUUUAUCAUUGUUAUUAAUAAAUUCAAAUGAAUGAAUGUUUAAAAAUAUUUUAAGAUCUGUAGCAAUAAUUAAUUUUCCAAUAUGUGCAUAAAAAAGAUUUACAAAAAAGUUGAAAAUGCUGGUAUAAACACAAAUUCAGUGCUAACUGGAAGUUGUUCCCAUAUUAUAAUACUGUGUAUUGUUCUAUGUUGUAAACAAUGCACAGUGAUUUUGUGAGUUUAUGUUCUAUGGCUACAGAAGAGGCACAUUUAGAGACGCUCACAAUACCACAUUAGUCCACAUUUCAAACAAAGAUGGGAAGCUGAGCUCUGGCUAGCAUUACAAAAUUCAAUUAAUUUCAAUUUCAUUCAGUUUUGUUUAAAUAGCACCAAUUGCCAGUCAGUUGCCUCAUAGCCCUUGAUUUUGUAAGCCUUCUAGUAAAGACCUUCCAAUAUUAGAAAAACCCUAAAAAUGAGUCGACUCCCUAUGAGCAAACACUUGGUGACAGUGGGAAAGAAAAACUUCUUUUUAACAGGAAGAAACCUCUUAGUUAAGAGUGUCCUUAUGAUUUCCAUAUGUUCUUUGAAUGAUGUUUUUUGAUUGUGUUUUUGAGUUUGUAGCUUUUUGUAGACUGUAUUUUUGGGUCCUUGUGUUUUAUUAAUCCUGCCCUCCUGUCUUCUCUGUGUCAAGAUUGCAGUUCUGUUCCUGUGUUCUAUAACUUCCUGUUUUAUUUUGUUAGUCUUUCAUUUUGUGUGCUUUGUAUUUAGUUCUUCUUCCCCUGCCUCGUCCUCAAUAAUUAUCCCCAGCUGUGUUUCCACCUGUUACCCAUCCUCUCGUUGUCUUGUAUUUGUAUAAAAUGUGUCAGUCUCCCCAUGUCCUUCAUGUCCUCUGCAUUAUUUGCGCAGGCUCUGCUGACGUCUUUGUUUUGUAUUUUUUGUUGACGAGAACUGAAAAUAAACUGCCCUUUAGUUUA